AGUCGAACGAGCGAGAGAGAGCUUGCUUUCUCGAGCGAGUGGCGAACGGGUGAGUAACGCGUGAGGAACCUGCCUCAAAGAGGGGGACAACAGUUGGAAACGACUGCUAAUACCGCAUAAGCCCACGGUGCCGCAUGGCACAGAGGGAAAAGGAGCAAUCCGCUUUGAGAUGGCCUCGCGUCCGAUUAGCUAGUUGGUGAGGUAAUGGCCCACCAAGGCGACGAUCGGUAGCCGGACUGAGAGGUUGAACGGCCACAUUGGGACUGAGACACGGCCCAGACUCCUACGGGAGGCAGCAGUGGGGAAUAUUGCACAAUGGGGGAAACCCUGAUGCAGCGACGCCGCGUGGAGGAAGAAGGUCUUCGGAUUGUAAACUCCUGUUGUUGGGGAAGAUAAUGACGGUACCCAACAAGGAAGUGACGGCUAACUACGUGCCAGCAGCCGCGGUAAAACGUAGGUCACAAGCGUUGUCCGGAAUUACUGGGUGUAAAGGGAGCGCAGGCGGGAAGACAAGUUGGAAGUGAAAUCUAUGGGCUCAACCCAUAAACUGCUUUCAAAACUGUUUUUCUUGAGUAGUGCAGAGGUAGGCGGAAUUCCCGGUGUAGCGGUGGAAUGCGUAGAUAUCGGGAGGAACACCAGUGGCGAAGGCGGCCUACUGGGCACCAACUGACGCUGAGGCUCGAAAGUGUGGGUAGCAAACAGGAUUAGAUACCCUGGUAGUCCACACCGUAAACGAUGAUUACUAGGUGUUGGAGGAUUGACCCCUUCAGUGCCGCAGUUAACACAAUAAGUAAUCCACCUGGG
rnacentral:rRNA from 1 species